GCCUCCGGGGCGACCCUGCCUUCGGGCGGGGGCUCCGGGUGGACACUUCAAACUCUUGCGUAACUUUGCAGUCUGAGUAAACUUAAUUAAUAAAUUAAAACUUUUAACAACGGAUCUCUUGGUUCUGGCAUCGAUGAAGAACGCAGCGAAAUGCGAUAAGUAAUGUGAAUUGCAGAAUUCAGUGAAUCAUCGAAUCUUUGAACGCACAUUGCGCCCCCUGGUAUUCCGGGGGGCAUGCCUGUUCGAGCGUCAUUUCACCACUCAAGCCUCGCUUGGUAUUGGGCAACGCGGUCCGCCGCGUGCCUCAAAUCGACCGGCUGGGUCUUCUGUCCCCUAAGCGUUGUGGAAACUAUUCGCUAAAGGGUGUUCGGGAGGCUACGCCGUAAAACAACCCCA
rnacentral:rRNA from 1 species